AGCUUGGUAUCACCAAAGACAAGAGACAGUACUCUGGAUUUGGUGACUGUUCUCGUUCAUUUCCCUGGCCAUUGCCAAUAUUUAGCAAACAGAAUUGGCUUUGCCAUAGUGACCAGGAAAUCAGUGCCUGUGCACGUCCAUUUUAGGCUGCUGUGUCUAUACCUGAGCAUGCAUGUGCCAAAAGAUGCCAUUGGUCCUUGCAACCUGCAGCAUUUCCUGGAACAGCUACAGGAAAGAAUCCUAGGAGAGGCCUCUGAGUAAAUAGCCUCUUUGGAGGAAAAAGGCUACAUGAAUGCACAAAAUUUCCAGAUGAUAAAUAACCCAGAGACUGUGCUCACAAGCUCACUUUACCAAGGGUAAUGAGGAAAUACUUCCUAAUUUUCAUCCUAGGAGUGACUUGGAUCCAGAGCUCUUGCGAAACGAAGGAGUCAGCUAUGAGAGCCAACCAUGCAAAUGCACCUUGAUGGCUGCACUCACUCGAAAGUUGUGUGCCAGGUACUGAGAAUGGGGUGAUCACACCUCUUUACAGUAUUCAGAAAAGCCGCCCCUCUCCAAAGUUAAAGCUGCUAAACUGGAUCUUGGAGGACGAGGAGGAACAAGCUUUCUGUUCCCUUCUCAGGCAGGGGCAGAGCCUUCUCAACACCGUCAAGCCAAAAGAUCUCAGCCAACAAGCCCCUCCUACAGAGAAAGACUGGAACAAAUACUCUUGCCUUUUCCAGCUUUAAUAGAGGACUACUGUGACUUAGUUUACUCCUGUCCAAUGACAGAUGUCUGGAAACUGAUUGGAAACUUUGAGAAAUUCAUUUCAUCUCUCAUGUUUCUGUUCUCUCCAUCUGUAAAACGGGGUCAGCUGUAUUGUACCUCAUGUGCAAAUCUGUGUGCUGUGAGGUUUAGCGGAUGGCUUAUAAAAGAUGCCGAUGAAAUUGGAAAGUAGAGUACCGAGAUGCCUGGUUCAUCACCCACCAAGCUCUCCAAAUCCCACAGCUGGGGCCAUUUAACUCUGUCUGUGAGAUGAGCACUGUCCUAAAGUCUGGAGCCAAAAUCCAUUCACUUUCUCAUUUCUUCAUUCAUUCAUCCAUCCGUUCAUUCAACAAGAAUAAACCUACUUAUGUUAGAAACUCA
rnacentral:lncRNA from 1 species